GUCUACAGCCAUAUCACCCUAAAUGUACUUGCUCUCAUGUGAUCCCAGAAGCUAAGCAGAGUCAGGCCUGGCUAAUACUUGGAUGGGAGAAAUAGGGUCAUUAGAUU
rnacentral:rRNA from 1 species